rnacentral:rRNA from 1 species
UCGUCAGGAUGAACGCUGGCGGCGUGCCUAACACAUGCAAGUCGAGCGAUUACUUCGGUAAAGAGCGGCGGACGGGUGAGUAACGCGUGGGUAACCUGCCUCAUACACAUGGAUAACAUACCGAAAGGUAUGCUAAUACAAGAUAAUAUAAGAGAUUCACAUGGAUUUCUUAUCAAAGCUCCGGCGGUAUGAGAUGGACCCGCGUCUGAUUAGCUAGUUGGUAAGGUAAUGGCUUACCAAGGCGACGAUCAGUAGCCGACCUGAGAGGGUGAUCGGCCACAUUGGAACUGAGACACGGUCCAAACUCCUACGGGAGGCAGCAGUGGGGAAUAUUGCACAAUGGGCGAAAGCCUGAUGCCAGCAACGCCGCGUGAGUGAUGAAGGCCUUCGGGUCGUAAAACUCUGUCCUCAAGGAAGAUAAUGACGGUACUUGAGGAGGAAGCCCCGGCUAACUACGUGCCAGCAGCGGC